UACGUAGGGGGCAAGCGUUGUCCGGAUUUAUUGGGCGUAAAGAGCGUGUAGGCGGCCAAGCAGGUCCGCUGUGAAAACUCGAGGCUCAACCUCGAGAGGUCGGUGGAAACCGUUUGGCUAGAGUCCGGAAGAGGAGAGUGGAAUUCCCGGUGUAGCGGUGAAAUGCGCAGAUAUCAGGAGGAACACCAAUGGCGAAGGCAGCACUCUGGGACGUGACUGAGCUGAGACGCGAAAAGCUAGGGGAGCAAACGGG
rnacentral:rRNA from 1 species